AAGUCGUAACAAGGUUUCCGUAGGUGAACCUGCGGAAGGAUCAUUACCCUAUACCAUCGGGGGGCCGGCCCUGGAGAUUGCGGCACUCAAUCAGGGAAGCCCUCUCUCCUGCCCGCCCUGUCUGAAUUAUACCCAUGAUUUUUGCGUACCCAUUGUUUCCUCGGCAGGCUUGCUUGCCAGUAGGACAUUUUUCAACCUUUUGUAAUUGCAGUCAGCGUCAGAAAAACUUAAUAGUUACAACUUUCAACAACGGAUCUCUUGGUUCUG
rnacentral:misc_RNA from 1 species